UGUCCCGUGGUGUAAUGGUAGCACAACAGGUUUUGGUUCUGUUUGCCAAGGUUCGAAUCCUUGCGGGACAA
rnacentral:tRNA from 1 species